UUUUGUGGAUGUUCAAGAAAGUGGUUUCUUAAGAUGGAAUCUACUCCUGGUGAAGAUGCUAUGAA
rnacentral:pre_miRNA from 1 species